UGGGUUUGACAUAUACCGGAAAGCCGUAGAGAUACGGCCCCCCUUGUGGUCGGUAUACAGGUGGUGCAUGGCUGUCGUCAGCUCGUGCCGUGAGGUGUUGGGUUAAGUCCCGCAACGAGCGCAACCCUCGCCCUUAGUUGCCAUCAUUUGGUUGGGCACUCUAAGGGGACUGCCGGUGAUAAGCCGAGAGGAAGGUGGGGAUGACGUUUACCGACAGCU
rnacentral:misc_RNA from 1 species